UCCCUGGUGGCUCAGACAGGAAAGUAUCUGCCUACGAUGCAGGAGAUCUGGGUUUGAUCCCCAGGUGGGGAA
rnacentral:tRNA from 1 species